rnacentral:rRNA from 1 species
CCUACGGGGCGCAGCAGUGGGGAAUAUUGCAUAAUGGGGGAAACCCUGAUGCAGCGACGCCGCGUGAGCGAAGAAGUAUUUCGGUAUGUAAAGCUCUAUCAGCAGGGAAGAAAAAUGACGGUACCUGAGUAAGAAGCACCGGCUAAAUACGUGCCAGCAGCCGCGGUAAUACGUAUGGUGCAAGCGUUAUCCGGAUUUACUGGGUGUAAAGGGAGCGCAGACGGCAGGGCAAGUCUGAUGUGAAAGUCCGGGGCUCAACCCCGGGACUGCAUUGGAAACUGUCCGGCUAGAGUGCAGGAGAGGUA